UCUGGAAAAUGAAAUUUACUAUAUUGACUGAAAUACCACUCUUUGUGUAGGUAUUUGUCAUAUAUUUAAGAAAAAGCUAAAAAGAAUGGAAAUUGUACGACAAUAACUUAAGUCUUUCUCCAAAGUGCAUGCAGU
rnacentral:lncRNA from 1 species